rnacentral:sRNA from 1 species
AUUUACUUCAGACGGUUGUAGCAAGCGGAAGAUCGGUAUUUACGGGUUUUGUUUUUCUUUCUUUCUUUCUUGCUCGCUGGAUUGUGUUAACGGGGAAGUGCGUGUUACGGAAAGAGGAAUCACUUCCAACAAAUCUUGUCUUAAAGCGGUUAAUCUGUGCUUAAAGAAUUUGGCGAAAUUUUGACCUUUGCAUUGGGGUUUUAAAAAAUACGUUUUUUUUCUAAUAAUUGUGUUUAGCUAAAGGCCAAAACUAGGCUUUAAAUGCAACAAAUCGAUUUAUCCCCUCCAUUGGUGCGUGUGCUUGUAUAUCAUUUACACUAAACCAAGUUAACCGCAGAUCAUCUUUGGAAAGUUAUACUUUCAGUUACCAUAACAAAAUCGACAACAACAACAACUGCUACAACGGAGCUAAAGCGUUUAAAAGAAAAAUUAACUACGUGCAACAAAUAUUUAAGUUUUAAAUUGCAUUUGUGGCCAAAACAAAUAGUGUCUGCGCGGUUUAGUAAGGCGGGCGGUGCUGUUUGUUCAAUGACCUUUUGUUUGGCAUUAAGACGCGGGCUUUGACGUAAAUCGAAAGUACCGAAAACAAAAAGUUAUUCAUAAUUACGGAAAAACCCUCAAAAUAAAGAAAACGAAAUCACACCUAUCCUAUAUGGUUUGCUUCAGAAAGUUUUGAGUGAAAGGAGUGAAAUUAAACGUCAGCAACAACAGAAACAACGACAAGAAGUGAAAAAAGUAAACCAUGCCUUGUGAUCCUUACCGGUUUUCUGUAGUGCCAGCCAACAUUGUCUAAGCGUCUUUCAGAGUCCGGCAGCAUCCAAAAAGUUGCAGAGUAAAGUUAUUUCUGGUUGCAACGUAGCCUCGUUGUCAUUUUGUUCACGUUUUUAUGGCCAGAAAAAGAAAAAGCCAACAAAACUUUAGCCUGUUGUGCAAAGCAAAGAAGUGGCCAAAAUUAUCCACAACCAAUAAAAGUUAUUAUUGUUGUUGUUAAUGUUUGUGUUAAAGUGAAUGAAAACUAAAAGCGAAAAUUUAGCUUAUCACCGAAUUUACCAAAACAACAAUAAAAACCAAAACAAAAACAACAACUGUUGCUCUCUUACCAUUCAAAAUUCAAAAAGGGUUUAACAACACAGCAUCAUCCCAUUAACCAGAAUCGGUGUUGAUUUGCAUCUUGAAGCGGAUAACUUGGGGUCUUUUUGUGUUUCGUUCAUUUCAUUUCUUUUUUUUUUGACGGUUUCGUACAAGCAAAAGUAAAAGGAAACUGGAAUAUUCAUACAGUUGCUGAUUAAAAAUCAGAAAUAUCUGUCUUUGCUACAAAUGGUAUGU